rnacentral:rRNA from 1 species
UACGGGGGGUGCGAGCGUUGUCCGGAAUCACUGGGCGUAAAGGGCGCGUAGGUGGUUUGAUAAGGGUGUGGUGAAAGUCCGGGGCUCAACCCCGGAUCUGCCGUGCCGACUGUCAAACUCGAGGGCUGUAGAGGCAGACGGAAUUCCGGGUGUAGCGGUGGAAUGCGUAGAGAUCCGGAGGAAGACCGGUGGCGAAGGCGGCAUCCUGGACCGGUAUUGACGCUGAGGCGCGAAAGCCAGGGGAGCAAACGGG